rnacentral:rRNA from 1 species
GACGAACGCUGGCGGCGUGCUUAACACAUGCAAGUCGAGCGAUGAAGCACCUUCGGGUGUGAAUUAGCGGCGAACGGGUGAGGAACACGUGAGAAAUCCGCCUUCAACUCAGGGAUAACUCCGUGAAAACGGGGCUAAUACCGGAUAUGAAACCUGCGGGCAUCCGCGGGUUUGGAAAGUUUUUCGGUUGAAGAUGAUCUCGCGGCCUAUCAGCUUGUUGGUGAGGUAAUGGCUCACCAAGGCGACGACGGGUAGCCGGCCUGAGAGGGCGACCGGCCACACUGGGACUGAGACACGGCCCAGACUCCUACGGGAGGCAGCAGUAGGGAAUAUUGGGCAAUGGAGGAAACUCUGACCCAGCGACGCCGCGUGCGGGAUGAAGGCCUUCGGGUUGUAAACCGCUUUCAGCAGGGAAGAAGCGAAAGUGACGGUACCUGCAGAAGAAGCACCGGCUAACUAUGUGCCAGCAGCCGCAGUAA